rnacentral:lncRNA from 1 species
GCUGUAGCUUGCCCAUCUCCCGCUCCCACAAUCCGGCGUGAUGGCUGCCGCCGUUCCUGGCGCCGUUUCGCUCUCCCCACUGCUGUCCGUUCUCCUUGGCCUGCUGCUCCUCUCUGCUCCUCAUGGCGCCAGCGGCCUGCACACGAAGGGCGCCCUUCCCUUGGACACAGUCACUUUCUACAAGGUAAUGAGAGCGGGGGGUCGUGCGCAGGUGCAGAUAGGCGCCCGUGGGAGCGCGCGCCCAUGGGGACGUUGGGCCCCGAGAGGUGGCAGCAGGCAGUCCUUAGGGACCAUCCCUAGACAUCCCAUCAUCCUGUAGACCCAGUGUGGACAGUGCCGGAGCCCACCCUGACCAUCAGGCAUCGUUCCCUUCUGC